UAGGCUUAGUACCUGGGUAAUGAAAUAGUC
rnacentral:piRNA from 1 species